rnacentral:rRNA from 1 species
ACUCCUGCGGGAGGCAGCAGUGGGGAAUAUUGGACAAUGGGCGCAAGCCUGAUCCAGCCAUGCCGCGUGAGUGAUGAAGGCCCUAGGGUUGUAAAGCUCUUUCACCGGUGAAGAUAAUGACGGUAACCGGAGAAGAAGCCCCGGCUAACUUCGUGCAAGCAGCCGCGGUAAUACGAAGGGGGCUAGCGUUGUUCGGAUUUACUGGGCGUAAAGCGCACGUAGGCGGACUAUUAAGUCAGGGGUGAAAUCCCGGGGCUCAACCCCGGAACUGCCUUUGAUACUGGUAGUCUUGAGUUCGAGAGAGGUGAGUGGAAUUCCGAGUGUAGAGGUGAAAUUCGUAGAUAUUCGGAGGAACACCAGUGGCGAAGGCGGCUCACUGGCUCGAUACUGACGCUGAGGUGCGAAAGCGUGGGGAGCAAACAGGAUUAGAAACCCCUGUAGUCCCA